CUCGUGAUGACACCCGGCUCCCUCUACUGAGGUAAUGAGGAGACUCUCCACCGAACCCAUUUCUUCUGAGG
rnacentral:snoRNA from 1 species